UAUCAUUUCUUUUAUUUUCAUGUAAUGGGGCAUUUAUGAUUGUUUGUGGUUCAUAUAAUAUCAUAACUGUGUCUGUGUCUAGUGAUAAAAUAAUUGUGCACGUCCCCUUUAAGAGUUUGUUAGUAAUACACUGUCUAAAAACGUGGCUUUGCCCAGCAGGUUAGUUCAUUUCUUUGUGAUUGGCCCUUGUCCUUCUUAUUCCCGCCUCUGCAGGUAUACUGAGAAUUCUGAUUGGAUGAAGGGGUGGAGUUUAGAACUGCAGAUCGGUGUGAGAGUUUAGUUAACGAUGUGACUGGGAGGAAUUCAUGGACCAGUUGGGACUUACCUCGGACGUGCUUUGGAGUAUCGUUGCUAUGGCGAUAAAGGAUCGUGCUGCUGUUCGGUAGAGGAGGGACUACAGAAAGAUCUACAGCUUCAGAGGAGGGAAUUUCGUGUUCCAGCCGCCUGGGAAGCCGUUCAGCCGACCAGAGUCCGCUCUUCCAGAACCAGAACCCAUGCAGGUGGAUCCUACUGGUCUCUCACUGUCAGAGCGUCAUGGAAGACUUACUCUAGGAUUGUGUCUAUACUGUGGAGCAUCGGGGCAUCCCAUCAUCUCAUGCCCCAUUUGCCCCCCACCACCACACCUGUCUCAGCUCUCCUCCAUUCAGGAUUAACUCAUUAAACCACAUAAGUCCGUCCCACACCACUGUAUUAUUAGAUAAAGUGCUGUGAUCUUAUAUGAUAAAACAUUUAAUAAGGUGUUAAUAUGAUCAAUUCUGCUCAUAAAACAUCUCAGUAAUUAGAAAUGAUAAAUUGAUUAAUCCGUACAGCCUAAACCACAGUCAUUAAACAUUGACUAAUCUAACAUUUAAAAGGUGAUAAACAUGUUCAGACAUGAGUAUUUAGGCACUUUUAAUAAACAAAAAAAACAAAAGUUUUAUGGCUUUUAACAGUUUAAAUGUUAUUUUAUUUUAGAACUUAUAGAACUUUUAGAACUGAUCUGCAGCUCCUCUGCUACGUCCACUGCCUCUGGUACCUCUGAAAACAGGAAAUUACAGCAAGAAAGAAAUUCAAUUACACCCACAUCUGCACACAUCUGCCCUAACCUCCUCUAUCAGGCUCUUUCAGUCUCUCUCUCUCUCUGUCUCUCUCUGUCUCUCUCUCACUCUCUGAGAAGUGAUGACUGCCAGAAAAAUCCCACCACAUGAGAGAGACAAUGUGUGUGAGUGUGUGAGUGUGUGUGGAGUGAAAGACUUUCAUCCAUGAAACUUUCCAGAGACAACUCGAGAUAUUUCUGAAUAGAAUUAGCCAAAAAAUGACUUUAUUGCACAUUAAAUUAGAAAGUUAUUGAACCCAGAAGUGUGAAUAUAAAACCAACUUUACCUCAGUGCAGACACCAAAGUUUCAAACAGCUGCAACAUGUUUUUGAAUAAAUAAAAUUAAUAGAAUAUAUAAAUUACAUAGAAAUGUCUAUACUUCUGCACAAAUAAAGACACUUCACUGUUCAGGUGGUCCCUCUGGACCCCCCUCAUCUCAGGGACCUCUGAAUCAUUCCAGAACGGGUUAAAUACAUUAAGGAAUGAUAAAAGUUCAACUGCCCGUCUGGUGAGCUGGUGUGCCAGGUUGGAUAAAUCCUGUGGUGGGUCAACAAGAGAGUAAAAUUACUAAUGUAUAAAACCUUUCAAAUAUCAGAUAUUACAGUUGUUAUACCUGUUAUUUAUAUAUAUAUACAGGGAGUUCAGAAUUAUUAGGGAAGUUGUAUUUUUGAGGAUUAAUUCUAUUAUUGA